rnacentral:rRNA from 1 species
GGGGGAUAUUGCACAAUGGGGGAAACCCUGAUGCAGCGACGCCGCGUGAGGGAAGACGGUCCUCUGGAUUGUAAACCUCUGUCUUCGGGGACGAAACGAGACGGUACCCGAGGAGGAAGCCACGGCUAACUACGUGCCAGCAGCCGCGGUAAUACGUAGGUGGCAAGCGUUGUCCGGAAUUACUGGGUGUAAAGGGAGCGUAGGCGGGCAGGCAAGUCAGGCGUGAAAUAUAUCGGCUCAACCGGUAACGGCGCUUGAAACUGCAGGUCUUGAGUGAAGUAGAGGUUGGCGGAAUUCCUAGUGUAGCGGUGAAAUGCGUAGAUAUUAGGAGGAACACCAGUGGCGAAGGCGGCCAACUGGGCUUUUACUGACGCUGAGGCUCGAAAGUGUGGGGAGCAAACAGGAUUAGAUACCCUGGUAGUCCACACCGUAAACGAUGAUUACUAGGUGUGGGGGGAC